rnacentral:rRNA from 1 species
GGUUAACGAAGCAAACCCGGCGAAGUGAAACAUCUCAGUAGCCGGAGGAAAGGACAUCAAUUGAGACUCCGUUAGUAGUGGCGAGCGAACGCGGACCAGGCCAGUGGCAAUUUGUUAAGAACCGGAACCGUCUGGAAAGUCGGACCAUAGUGGGUGAUAGUCCCGUACGGGUAGAAAGACAUUUUGUCCUCGAGUAGGGCGGGACACGUGAAAUCCUGUUUGAACAUGGGGGGACCAUCCUCCAAGCCUAAGUACUCCUUGAUGACCGAUAGUGAACCAGUACCGUGAGGGAAAGGUGAAAAGCACCCCGACGAGGGGAGUGAAAGAGACCUGAAACCGAAUGCUUACAAGCAGUGGGAGCACCCUUGAGGUGUGACCGCGUACCUUUUGUAUAAUGGGUCAGCGAGUUAAUUUUGCGAGCAAGCUUAAGCCGUUAGGUGUAGGCGCAGGGAAACCGAGUCUUAAUAGGGCGCAUGAGUUCGUAGGAUUAGACCCGAAGCUUGGUGAUCUAGCCAUGAGCAGGUUGAAGGUGCGGUAACACGUACUGGAGGACCGAACCCACUUAUGUUGAAAAAUGAGGGGAUGACUUGUGGUUAGGGGUGAAAGGCCAAUCAAACCAAGUAAUAGCUGGUUCUCCGCGAAAUCUAUUUAGGUAGAGCGUUGUGUAUUGCCAUCGGGGGUAGAGCACUGGAUGGGCUAGGGGUCCCCACAGGAUUACCAAACCUAACCAAACUCCGAAUACCGAUGAGUAUGAGCACGGCAGACAGACGGCGGGUGCUAAGGUCCGUCGUCGAA